rnacentral:rRNA from 1 species
AAGAGUUUUGAUCCUGGCUCAGGAUGAACGCUAGCGGCGUGCCUAACACAUGCAAGUCGAACGUGAAGGGGUACUUGUACUCCUGAAAGUGGCGGACGGGUGAGUAAGACGUAGGUGACCUGCCUUGAAGUGGGGGAUAACCAUUGGAAACGAUGGCUAAUACCGCAUGAUGUUAUUUAGUUGGGAAACGCGAUAACCAAAGUUGAGGCGCUUUGAGAGGGGCCUACGGCGAUUAGCUAGUUGUGGGGUAAGAGCCUACCAAGGCGAUGAUCGGUAGCUGGUCUGAGAGGACGAUCAGCCACACGGGAACUGAGACACGGUCCCGACUCCUACGGGGGGCAGCAGUGAGGAAUAUUCGGCAAUGGGGGGAACCCUGACCGAGCAACGCCGCGUGGAGGAUGACGGUUUUCGGAUUGUAAACUCCUUUUCUGGGGGAAGAGCAAUGGACGGUACCCCAGGAAUCAGUCACGGCUAACUACGUGCCAGCAGCCGCGGUAAUACGUAGUGGCAAGCGUUAUCCGGAAUUAUUGGGCGUAAAAGCGCACGCAGGUGGCCUUUUAAGGCUGACGUGAAAGCUCCUGGCUUAACCGGGAGAGGUCGUUGGCGACUGGGAGGCUUGCGGCGAGGAGAGGGGCGUAGAAUUCCCGGUGUAGUGGUGGAAUGCGUAGAUUCGGGAGGAAUAACCAGAGGCGCAAGCGAAGCCCUGGCUGUGCCUGAA